rnacentral:rRNA from 1 species
UACGGGGGGGGCAAGCGUUGUUCGGAAUUACUGGGCGUAAAGGGCUCGUAGGUGGCCAACUAAGUCAGACGUGAAAUCCCUCGGCUUAACCGGGGAACUGCGUCUGAUACUGGAUGGCUUGAGUUUGGGAGAGGGAUGUGGAAUUCCCGGUGUAGCGGUGAAAUGCGCAGAUAUCGGGAGGAACACCUAUGGCGAAGGCAGCUCGCUGGGACGUUACUGACGCUGAGACGCGAAAGCGUGGGGAGCAAACAGG